rnacentral:rRNA from 1 species
AGAGUUUGAUCAUGGCUCAGGACGAACGCUGGCGGCGUGCCUAACACAUGCAAGUGGAGCGACGAACCGGGCUUCGGCCCGGGGCCAAGCCGCGAACGGGUGAGUAACACGUGGGUAACCUGCCCUGAUGAUUGGGACAACCCGAGGAAACUCGGGCUAAUACCGAAUGUGCCCUCUGGCCGUAAGGCCUCUGGGGAAAGGAAGCUUCGGCCUCCGCAUCGGGAUGGGCCCGCGGCCCAUUAGCUUGUUGGUGAGGUAACGGCUCACCAAGGCAACGAUGGGUAGCUGGUCUGAGAGGACGAUCAGCCACACUGGGACUGAGACACGGCCCAGACUCCUACGGGAGGCAGCAGUGGGGAAUCUUGCGCAAUGCGCGAAAGCGUGACGCAGCAACGCCGCGUGGGGGAAGAAGGCCUUCGGGUUGUAAACCCCUUUCAGUUGGGACGAAGCUCUGGCGGUGAAUAGCCGUUUGGAGUGACGGUACCUUCAGAAGAAGCCCCGGCUAACUACGUGCCAGCCGCCGCGGUAAUAC